AGUGAACGCUGGCGGUAGGCCUAACACAUGCAAGUCGAACGGCAGCACAGUAAGAGCUUGCUCUUACGGGUGGCGAGUGGCGGACGGGUGAGGAAUACAUCGGAAUCUACUUUUUCGUGGGGGAUAACGUAGGGAAACUUACGCUAAUACCGCAUACGACCUACGGGUGAAAGCAGGGGAUCUUCGGACCUUGCGCGAUUGAAUGAGCCGAUGUCGGAUUAGCUAGUUGGCGGGGUAAAGGCCCACCAAGGCGACGAUCCGUAGCUGGUCUGAGAGGAUGAUCAGCCACACUGGAACUGAGACACGGUCCAGACUCCUACGGGAGGCAGCAGUGGGGAAUAUUGGACAAUGGGCGCAAGCCUGAUCCAGCCAUACCGCGUGGGUGAAGAAGGCCUUCGGGUUGUAAAGCCCUGUUGUUGGGAAAGAAAAGCAGCAGGUUAAUACCCCGCUGUUCCGACGGUACCCAAAGAAUAAGCACCGGCUAACUUCGUG
rnacentral:rRNA from 1 species